rnacentral:tRNA from 1 species
GAAGGUAUAGCUCAGUGGUAGAGCACGUGCUUAGCACGCACAAGAUCCUAGGUUCGAUCCCCAGUACCUAUA